GCCGGGCGUGGUGGUGCACACCUGUGAUCCCAGCUACUGGGGAGGCUGAGGCAUGAGAAUUGCUUGAGCCCAGGAGGUGGAGGUUGCAAUGAGCUGAGAUCAUGCUACUGCACUGCACCCUGGGCAACACAGCAAGACUCUGCCUCCA
rnacentral:SRP_RNA from 2 species